rnacentral:rRNA from 1 species
CCUACGGGCGGCAGCAGUAGGGAAUAUUGCUCAAUGGGGGAAACCCUGAUGCAGCAACGCCGCGUGGAGGAUGAAGGUUUUCGGAUUGUAAACUCCUUUUGUUAGAGAAGAUAAUGACGGUAUCUAACGAAUAAGCACCGGCUAAAUCCGUGCCAGCAGCCGCGGUAAUACGGAGGGUGCAAGCGUUACUCCGAAUCACUGGGGGGAAAGAGCGCGGAGGCGGGAUGGCAAGUCAGAUGUGAAAUCCUAUGGCUUAACCAUAGAACUGCAUUUGAUACUGUUAUUCUAGAGUAUGGGAGAGGUAGGUGGAAUUCUUGGUGUAGCGGUAAAAUCCGUAGAGAUCAAGAAGAAUACUCAUUGCGAAGGCGACCUGCUAGAACAUAACUGACGCUGAUGCGCGAAAGCGUGGGGAGCAAACAGGAUUAGAUACCCGUGUAGUC